rnacentral:rRNA from 1 species
AGCGAACGCUGGCGGCAGGCCUAACACAUGCAAGUCGAACGAACCUUUCGGGGUUAGUGGCGGACGGGUGAGUAACACGUGGGAACGUGCCUUUAGGUUCGGAAUAACUCAGGGAAACUUGUGCUAAUACCGAAUGUGCCCUUCGGGGGAAAGAUUUAUCGCCUUUAGAGCGGCCCGCGUCUGAUUAGCUAGUUGGUUGAGGUAAUGGCUCACCAAGGCGACGAUCAGUAGCUGGUGUGAGAGGAUGAUCAGCCACAUUGGGACUGAGACACGGCCCAAACUCCUACGGGAGGCAGCAGUGGGGAAUCUUGCGCAAUGGGCGAAAGCCUGACGCAGCCAUGCCGCGUGAAUGAUGAAGGUCUUAGGAUUGUAAAAUUCUUUCACCGGGGACGAUAAUGACGGUACCCGGAGAAGAAGCCCCGGCUAACUUCGU